AACGAACGCUGGCGGCAUGCCUAACACAUGCAAGUCGAACGAGACCUUCGGGUCUAGUGGCGCACGGGUGCGUAACGCGUUGGAACCUGCCCUUAGGUUCGGAAUAACUCCCCGAAAGGGGUGCUAAUAACGGAUAAUGUCUUCGGACCAAAGAUUUAUCGCCUUUGGAUGGGCCCGCAUUGGAUUAGCUAGUUGGUAGGGUAAAAGCCUACCAAGGCGACGAUCCAUAGCUGGUCUGAGAGGAUGAUCAGCCACACUGGGACUGAGACACGGACCAGACUCCUACGGGAAGCAGCAGUGGGGAAUAUUGGACAAUGGGCGAAAGCCUGAUCCAGCAAUGCCGCGUGAGUGAUGAAGGCCUUAGGGUUGUAAAGCUCUUUUACCCGAGACGAUAAUGACAGUACCGGGAGAAUAAGCUCCGGCUAACUCCGUG
rnacentral:rRNA from 1 species